rnacentral:rRNA from 1 species
UACGUAGGGUGCAAGCGUUGUCCGGAAUUAUUGGGCGUAAAGAGCGUGUAGGCGGCCAUGCAGGUCAGCUGUGAAAACUCGAGGCUCAACCUCGAGACGUCGGCGGAAACCCUCUGGCUAGAGUCCGGAAGAGGAGAGUGGAAUUCCUGGUGUAGCGGUGAAAUGCGCAGAUAUCAGGAAGAACACCCGUGGCGAAGGCGGCUCUCUGGGACGGUACUGACGCUGAGACGCGAAAGCGUGGGGAGCAAACAGG